rnacentral:SRP_RNA from 1 species
GCUGGGUAUGGUGGCUCACACCUGUAAUCCCAGCACUUUGGGAGGCUGAGGUGGGUGGAUCACCUGAGGUCAGGAGUUCAAGACCAGCCUGGCCAACAUGGUGAAACCCCAUCUCUA